UCUCUGGUAGUAUAUCGGAUAGUACACCCGCCUGUCACUGUUUGUGUAACGCGGGAGAGCGGGGUUCGACUCCCCGCCAGAGAG